rnacentral:rRNA from 1 species
CCUACGGGUGGCUGCAGUAGGGAAUAUUGCUCAAUGGGGGAAACCCUGAAGCAGCAACGCCGCGUGGAGGAUGAAGGUUUUCGGAUUGUAAACUCCUUUUGUUAGAGAAGAUAAUGACGGUAUCUAACGAAUAAGCACCGGCUAACUCCGUGCCAGCAGCCGCGGUAAUACGGAGGGUGCAAGCGUUACUCGGAAUCACUGGGCGUAAAGAGCGCGUAGGCGGGAUAGCAAGUCAGAUGUGAAAUCCUAUGGCUUAACCAUAGAACUGCAUUUGAAACUGUUAUUCUAGAGUAUGGUGGAGGUAGGUGGAAGUCGUGGUGUAGGGGUAUAAUGCGUAGAGAGCACGAAGAACUCGGAUUGCGAAGGCGGCCUGCUAAAAUGCCACGGACAUUGAUGCUCGAAAGUGUGGGUGUCAAACAGGAGUAGAGACCCGAGUAGUG